GAUGAACGCUGGCGGCGUGCCUAACACAUGCAAGUCGAGCGAAGCACUUUGCUUAGAUUCUUCGGAUGAAGAGGAUUGUGACUGAGCGGCGGACGGGUGAGUAACGCGUGGGUAACCUGCCUCAUACAGGGGGAUAACAGUUAGAAAUGACUGCUAAUACCGCAUAAGACCACAGCACCGCAUGGUGCGGGGGUAAAAACUCCGGUGGUAUGAGAUGGACCCGCGUCUGAUUAGCUAGUUGGUAAGGUAACGGCUUACCAAGGCGACGAUCAGUAGCCGACCUGAGAGGGUGACCGGCCACAUUGGGACUGAGACACGGCCCAAACUCCUACGGGAGGCAGCAGUGGGGAAUAUUGCACAAUGGGGGAAACCCUGAUGCAGCGACACCGCGUGAGCGAAGAAGUAUUUCGGUAUGUAAAGCUCUAUCAGCAGGGAAGAAAAUGACGGUACCUGACUAAGAAGCACCGGCUAAAUACGUGCCAGCAGCCGCGGUAAUACGUAUGGUGCAAGCGUUAUCCGGAUUUACUGGGUGUAAAGGGAGCGUAGACGGAUGGGCAAGUCUGAUGUGAAAACCCGGGGCUCAACCCCGGGACUGCAUUGGAAACUGUUCAUCUAGAGUGCUGGAGAGGUAAGUGGAAUUCCUAGUGUAGCGGUGAAAUGCGUAGAUAUUAGGAGGAACACCAGUGGCGAAGGCGGCUUACUGGACAGUAACUGACGUUGAGGCUCGAAAGCGUGGGGAGCAAACAGG
rnacentral:rRNA from 1 species